UACGGGGGGGUAAGCGUUGUUCGGAAUUACUGGGCGUAAAGGGCUCGUAGGCGGCCAACUAAGUCAUACGUGAAAUCCCUCAGCUUAACUGGGGAACUGCGUGUGAUACUGGAUGGCUUGGAUUGGGAGAGGGAUGCGGAAUUCCAGGUGUAGCGGUGAAAUGCGUAGAUAUCUGGAGGAACACCGGUGGCGAAGGCGGCAUCCUGGACCAAUAUGACGCUGAGGAGCGAAAGCCAGGGGG
rnacentral:rRNA from 1 species